CCCUUAGAUGUUCUGGGCCGCACGCGCGCUACACUGACGAAUGCAACGAGCUUAUAACCUUGGCCGAAAGGUCUGGGUAAUCUCCAAAUUUCGUCGUGAUGGGGAUAGAUUAUUGCAAUUAUUAAUCUUCAACGAGGAAUGCCUAGUAAGCGCAAGUCAUCAGCUUGCGUUGAUUACGUCCCUGCCCUUUGUACACACCGCCCGUCGCUCCUACCGAUUGAAUGGUCCGGUGAAGCGCUCGGACCGCGGCCUCUUGACGGGUCUCCGUCGAUUGGCUGUGGGAAGUUCGUUAAACCUUAUCAUUUAGAGGAAGUAAAAGUCGUAACA
rnacentral:rRNA from 1 species